AUGUUCUGAGCUGCCCUGUGAAAAUUAGAGACUUUCCAUACAGUAACGUUUAAAGUAUGUAAGGCCAAACAGUUGGUAUAUAGCGGGGGCUAUGUGAUACUCAAAACUGAUUAUUGGAAAAACAUUAAAAAAAAAAAUACUAUUCUAUAUUUUAUUUAACAGUCUGCAGAAUGUUAUGAACAUAUACAACACUAGUACACAGUGAGGAGGAAAAAAAAUGAAAAUUAAAAAGUACCAACAGCGCAAUCUAAAUUCUAUUGAUUAUAGAGGGGGGACGGGACAGCAGCUCUAAUGCAUUUUUGGUUUCUUGUAGAGGUUAGCUUGGAAACUAGGAGAAAGCCGUAUAGAAGAGUUUAAUUCUGAUAAAAUAUAGAGUACACACAGAGUUUAAGAAAUCAGUUGUCUUCCAAUAGUAGAGCAGAUCCAAACGCUAUAUAAAUUAUACAUUUUAUGUUCUCAAAUAGCGGGAACUACAAUUUGUAUUUAUUUUUCUACCAUGCUACAAGAAAUCUCAGUGCUGGUGAUUGUAUCGCUGCGAGGUUUAAUGCUCCCUGUGCUGGCUAUGCUACCUGCCAUGCCCUAGCUUAGAAGAUUUUUAUUUUAAUUUAGCUACGAUCAUGUAUUGUAAUACAGUUUGACAAUUUUACCUUACAAAGUGAACAAAAAACAAACAAAAAUGUAAACAAACCCAGCGUGAUAAUUACUGUUAAUUACAGUAAACAUUGCAAAUUACUGGAUUAUCAUCCCCAUGUCCACAAUUAACAAAGCAUGUUUAUGUGGAGGGUAAAAAGUCAGCGAGUCAUUUUUGUUUGUUUUUAAUUCAUAAGCAAUUAUAUAUUUUUUUCUUAAACUAAAAUGUCUGUACCCCUUUUUUUUGUUUUUUAAUUUUUAUAGUUUUUUUUUUUGUUUCCCUUUCUAUAAACAGAGAAUUUUUAUUUGUAGACCCAUUGGAGAUCUCGCUGCUUCAGCAGUGAUUGUUAACCUUUAGGUCGAUGUCAUUUUAUUGAUAUCAACCUGUUACUGUUGCAGUACUGCCUUCCCCGAUGCUAUGGAGACCCCCGUAUAUUAUAAGGAAAUGCAAAUUCUGCAAAAUACCUUCAUGAAUUUCUUGAUACAUAUUAUGUAACAGCUGACACAUGGUUCACUGAGAUUAUGUAACAAUGAAGAAUGCCUUGCCACACUUAGGUCAGCACUACCGCUAGUUCUUAUGCCUCCCACAUGUCCCUCUUUAGGAGGGAUAGUCCCUCUUGGGCCUAAAUCCCACUGUCCCUCUUAUCUCUACUCUAGUACCUUUAACAGAGCUCCACAGAAAUAAUACUCACAUUGUGUUUUUACAAAACAAAUGUCUUUAGAAUCUGUCUGUGUGAAUAAGAUUUUUGGCUUGAUAUAAUUGACCAUGACAGUGCCAAGAAUAUUUAUUAGUGCGCUAUGAUAUCACGUAAGAUAUGUUGGAAUAGUCUCAUCCCUGGCCACUCCACCAGUAAAACUAAAGUCUCCCUCUUUGGCCAUUUAAAAUGUUGGGGGCUGGGAGUUCUGCAUGCAGGAAAACAUGAAAACACAAGAUGUUAUAUCUAUUAAACUAAAGUGCCAAUGAUUAUAAACCGUAAAUACCAUAAAAUACAAUGAACACACCAAGCACCAUUACAACUUGUGCACCUUGUAUGGCUUAUGGUGCAAGGAGGGUCCUCUGUGUCUGUUUGGGAGGUUUAAAACGCCACAAGUUUCUCUGUUACAAAAAAUAGAGAAGAAAAAAAAAAUUGUAUAUUUUCUCUUUGAAUGGAACUACGAGCAUGUGCUGACUUACACUUCCUAUAAACCCCUUCUGAGCACGAAGUCUAGGGUUGGUUGACUUGUGUCAGCCACUUCCUGAUUUGACCAUAGCCUAAGGUCACAGAACAGGCAUAGGGAGGUGUUUCUACCUACAUAGUUUUUACUAUAUUCUUUAUAUGAAUUCAUUAAAAGUGGGGUCAGCUCCAAUCUAGAGUGGCCUUUUGAUAAAGCUUUAGAAAACAUACGCCCUCUUCAUUUUAAUGGACACGUAACGAUGCAAGUAAUGUGUUCUGAAAAUAACGGUGUAAGCGGAACACAAUGGUUCUCUAAAAAAGUGUAAAACGGCAUCUUCUAAGGAGCUUCACGCUGACAGCAAAGGGGCUUCUUGAAGGUCAGAUUUUCUAAAUGUAACUCAUGUUUUCCCAUUCAUCCAGAACCGGGUAAGGACUGCUGCUACAAAGGCCAUCUUUCAUGCACAUACAAAAAAUGUGAACAGUAUGUUAUUAACAAAUGUAUAGUAUACGUAGAAAAACGCAGAAAAAUAAAACCCCUUCAGUGGCCGUGUAUGGAAUACAUCCACCCCCUGGAACUGCUACAACUAGCUCCUUACUAUGAAAUAUUCACACACUGCUUGGAUUGAAUACACCUGGAGUUAUCUGUGGAACCUCAUUGGAACCAAAUAGAAAUAAGAGUUCAGAUACCAUUUUGUAUUGCUGCUUAGAAUUUUGCCAGUGGAAGUUAUUAUGCAAUUGUGUUGUAAGAGCCAUUAAAAUACAGAAUUUAAAAAAGUACAUGCAUAUAUAUAUAUUUUUUUCCUUAACUAUUAUAGAGCUGGAAAUUAUGUUUAUAAAGGGAAUUUAUUUUGUUUAAAGUCAAUAUGUGUAGUUUACUCAUAUAAAGCCGUCCCAUGCUCCCUUCCUCUAAGCUGUACAUUAUCAGGAUAACCAGUAAACACAUUAUGCAAAUAGGGCCGUUUGCUAUACACGGCAUGCGCAACGGUGGAACGUUAGUCUGACGUCAACUUUACAUAACCGGCAGACAUGCCAUUAGGCCAAACGCAUGUUUAUGGGGCUUUGGCUAUUUGGGGAGAUUACCGACAAAGCAUAAUGACUAGGGACUCAGACAGGCAAGUGGGAACGCCGGUUCCUGAAUUCAGUAUCUCCAGCGUGACUAUUAUCCUCCAUGUUCAUUAACAGCCAACCUAAAAAUAAAACCUGCUGAGUUCUAGGAUUGUGAAAGUAGACUAUGCUUUGAGACAUCUUAACAUCUCCCUCGUAUUUGCCCUGACGUUAACAGACUAACCUAUGGAAAGUUGAGAGGGCUAACAGGCCAAAGGAAUAUUGUAAAUUUGCAGAAUUUUCUAAUUUAGAAUCUAAAAGAAAUUCCUCCUAUUCCUGCUCUGGUCCUUUCACCAUCUCCAUGUGUUAAUAUCUAAAGACUGUCCUAGGGACCGCCCCAGUCUUUAAGUUUAAAAUCCCUUUAAAAAUCCCAUGGCUGCCCUUUGAGUAGCACCCCUUGUAGCCCAGCAUUCUAAUUUGUCACUGUAUUCUGUGAGACACAGUAUACAACAGUGCACUUAUGUAGCAAUAUGGGAGGGGGAAAAAAAAAUCAAAGUAUCAACUGUAUGUACAGCAAGAUCCAUCAGUUUAAUAUGUUUCUAAGGACUCUGUAUGCAAUUAUUGGCAAAUUAAAAAAAGAAAAUGGUUAGGGACAAAUUUGAUUGUAUUUGGUUUAACAAAUAACCCUUUUGUUUAAAUGAUACUUAACUCUGCAUUAACAUUAUAAUGUGCAUUCUACACCUCCCACCCCCUCCAAUGUAAAGGAAAACCCAGUUUCCAAAUUACCCAGCAUAAUCUGUUUUCUUGUUUGGAAAAAUAUAUUUUCUAAAUCAAAACAAAUUAUGAAUUAAUGGCAGAACGCAAAAAGUCAUACAUAUUCACAUUUAAUUUAAACUUUUUUUUUUUUUGCUUGUUGAAUUAAACACUAUCCACAUCUUAAAAUUCAUUCAACAUGAGUUCAAAAUCUGAUUGGUGACAGGUACACAGCUCUGAACUAUACUUCCCAUAAUUCCCCAUACAAAAUCGCCCACACCAAACCAGACUGCCAAACGCCGCCAGUACCUGCUGACAGUAAUAAUAGAUUUAAUGAGAUUGUUAUUGCUCUGUGUGUUCUAAUCUAGUAAUCUUUAAAGAAUAAAAAUUAAUAAAAUCUAAAAAAAAAUGUAUAAAUGGAAAUAUAUUUUGUACCCCGAUACGAGUCUUAUUUUAUUUUGUACAAUAUUCUUGGUGUCUAAAUCUGCUGUAAUAUUUUGCAUAAAGAAAUGUACAAAGUAUUUGGAUUUUCAAUGCUGCUUGACUGAUGAAUUUAAAGGAGGAGAUAUUACAAGUGGUUCUUUUUUUAGUUCUGAAAUCUAUUAUACAGAUAUCAGAAGAUCCUGAUAAAAAGAGAGGGUUCUCACGUUGACAAAAGUAGCUUUAUUGUAUAGUAGUGGUUAUAUGCAAGUUGUAAUAAAUGGGGAACAUUUUUGAAGGACAUACUUCUAAGCACCAUCCUAUUGGAUAACCGUUUUGUUGUGUUAAAAGGAGCUGCUUAGCACCGUGGCUGUUACAGAGGGAGUCAUGUAUCCAUCCCCCCCCCCCCCCUCCCCCCUAUUGUGUAUAAUUAUAAAAUAAUCAUUCUAUACACCAUGCAUGUUUGGUGAUUUCCUUCAAUAUGGAACAUAACCAGGAAACCAAGAGACAAGAGAGAGGUAAGGAAGUCAUGUCUUCUCCCCGAUUGUGUCCAAGACUGUAUCUCUAUUGCAGAUUCUACUAGGACAGGGGCAGGCAACCUUCGUCAACUCCUGAUGCUUCGCCAGCAUUUUGACUGUAAAAGUAUUAUGGAGUUUAGUUCACCACAUCUGUGCUGAGGGCUGCCUACCUCUGUACAAUAGAAAAAAGCAGGAACUGGACAGUAAAACUGCAUGAUGUUCUUAUAUGGAGGGGGAAAAAAAACUCAAAAAAUUAUCUUCAAAUAUUCUGCUAUGAAUUAAUUUCUGGUGCAGAAGAGAUCUUUUGGAACGUUUUUCUGGUGUGAAUAAAGAUUUCUGUAAGCGAGUAUUGGUCUUCCGGUGUCCUGUUGCCGUUUCUUAAAUUGACUUCUUGAAUGCACACUUUUGUAAAUAGGUAAACUAAAAUAGGAGGGAUUAUAGAUCGUAAAAAGGGAUUUAAAGAAAUGUGUACAAAAAAUAAACCCUUGCUUCCUGUUCUUCAAUUUGUCUUCUGUGAUCGACAUAUUUAUAGCCAUUCUUUGAACCACACAGAUUCGAGGACUUGAUGGGUGCGUGACCCGUGACAUGCAGAGUCCUCUGGCACUGAGAUGGUUAAAAGGUGGUGUACAGCGUGUGCGUGAGUCUCGCCAAGACUGAUUCACCAAAUUCUUUAUAUGUAAAUGUAACGAUUAUGCAGCUGUUGUGAUUCUUAAAUUCUGGACAAAUGGUUACAGGAAUUAUUUUAUACAUAGUAACUAAAUGAAAGAGUCUCCCCAAUAGAGCUAUUGGGGUACGGGCCUCACAGUUUGGCGUGUUCAUCAAGUAAUUAAGCCCCAGGCGUGGAUCAUAGAGUCUAUAAUAAAAAAAAUAGCAGAAUAAAAUCAGCACUGUGCCAUACUACAGAAAGUGUGGAUUUUACAUACAAUAUCUUCGAAUAAAAAAAAAAAUUGCAUAUCACACUAGGGCUUUGUUUCCCAUAACUCAGUCUUCAAAAUUUUAGUGCGCUGGCAAAUGUAUUAAAUAUGGCUAAAAUAUAUUGUGAUGUGAAGCUUUACCUGGGCAAGCCGAAUAGCAAAUAUCUGCAGAAUUUAAAGGUUUUUGCUUUCUUAUGUGUAUCGGUAACUUAUAACGGAUUCUGAAAGCGAAAAAGGACUACUUUACAGGUUGUUGGGUUUUGUUUUUUAUUGUCUAAGUUAUUAAUUUGUAUCUUUGAUUUUACACACAAUUUUUUUUUUUCUUUUUCAAAAACGCAAACUAAAAUCUAGGUUAAGGAAAAACAUAGUGAUUGAGUUUUUUUUUUUUUUACACACCUCUGUUACCUGGAAACGGAUAGGUUCAAUUUGCAAUGUUGCUUUAGUUUUUGAAAAGCCGGCAUUUUUGAUUUGCAAUCAUUGUUCCACUGAUAGAACCAUCUAUACUAUAAUAUCAACAUGAUGUUGCACAUGACUGUCUGAACAUGCACAGUACUUUAUUUUCUGUAUAUCUGGUGUGAUGGAUAGGUAGAAACAAAUAAAACCGUGAUAUAUAUAUAUAUAUAUUAUAUGCACUUCUGAACAUGUUUUUUUGUUAUGUUAUUAAAUGCCAAACGUUCUAAAGCGUUUCUUGAGACUUCUUCAACCUAAUUUUAAAAUAUGUAAUAAUGUACAGAGAACGGUAGCAGUUUUGGAAAUGAUGUGGCUCUGUGCGAUUCGAUUCUUGUACAUUUGCAAUUAGAAAUAUUAAAGAUUUAUUUAGCUAUUUUA